GACGAACCGAGCGACCGUUGUUCGGAAUCACUGGGCUUAAAGGGCGCGUAGGCGGGCGGUCAAGUCAAGGGUGAAAGCCCCCAGCUCAACUGGGGAAGUGCCUCUGAUACUGAUCGUCUCGAGGGGGAUAGGGGCGUGCGGAACUUCCGGUGGAGCGGUGAAAUGCGUAGAUAUCGGAAGGAACACCGGUGGCGAAAGCGGCGCGCUGGAUCCCUUCUGACGCUGAGGCGCGAAAGCCAGGGGAGCAAACGGG
rnacentral:rRNA from 1 species